AUUGAACGCUGGCGGCAGGCCUAACACAUGCAAGUCGAGCGGUAACAUUUCAAAAGCUUGCUUUUGGAGAUGACGAGCGGCGGACGGGUGAGUAAUGCCUGGGAAAUUGCCCUGAUGUGGGGGAUAACCAUUGGAAACGAUGGCUAAUACCGCAUAGUAGCUUCGGCUUAAAGAGGGGGACCUUAGGGCCUCUCGCGUCAGGAUAUGCCCAGGUGGGAUUAGCUAGUUGGUGAGGUAAAGGCUCACCAAGGCGACAAUCCCUAUCUGGUCUGAGAGGAUGAUCAGCCACACUGGAACUGAGACACGGUCCAGACUCCUACGGGAGGCAGCAGUGGGGAAUGUUGCACAAUGGGCGCAAGCCUGAUGCAGCCAUGCCGCGUGUGUGAAGAAGCCUUCGGGUUGUAAAGCACUUUCAGUCGUGAGGAAAGGUGUGUUUUUAAUAAUGCGCACUUUGACGUUUGCGACAGAAGAAGCACCGGCUAACUCCGUGC
rnacentral:rRNA from 1 species